rnacentral:rRNA from 1 species
UUAAGUUGGGCACUCUAAGUUGACUGCCGGUGACAAACCGGAGGAAGGUGGGGAUGACGUCAAAUCAUCAUGCCCCUUAUGAUUUGGGCUACACACGUGCUACAAUGGACAAUACAAAGGGUAGCGAAACCGCGAGGUCAAGCAAAUCCCAUAAAGUUGUUCUCAGUUCGGAUUGUAGUCUGCAACUCGACUAUAUGAAGCUGGAAUCGCUAGUAAUCGUAGAUCAGCAUGCUACGGUGAAUACGUUCCCGGGUCUUGAAUA